rnacentral:rRNA from 1 species
GAUGAACGCUGGCGGCGUGCCUAAUACAUGCAAGUCGAGCGAACAGACGAGGAGCUUGCUCCUCUGAUGUUAGCGGCGGACGGGUGAGUAACACGUGGAUAACCUACCUAUAAGACUGGGAUAACUUCGGGAAACCGGAGCUAAUACCGGAUAACAUGUUGAACCGCAUGGUUCAACAGUGAAAGACGGUCUUGCUGUCACUUAUAGAUGGAUCCGCGCCGCAUUAGCUAGUUGGUAAGGUAACGGCUUACCAAGGCAACGAUGCGUAGCCGACCUGAGAGGGUGAUCGGCCACACUGGAACUGAGACACGGUCCAGGCUCCUACGGGAGGCAGCAGUAGGGAAUCUUCCGCAAUGGGCGAAAGCCUGACGGAGCAACGCCGCGUGAGUGAAGAAGGUCUUCGGAUCGUAAAACUCUGUUAUUAGGGAAGAACAAAUGUGUAAGUAACUAUGCACGUCUUGACGGUACCUAAUCAGAAAGCCACGGCUAACUACGUG